rnacentral:rRNA from 1 species
GACGAACGCUGGCGGCGUGCCUAAUACAUGCAAGUCGAACGCAGUGGGGACGGGUGAGUAACACUUGGUUAACCUCCCAACAAAGGGGGUAACACUUGGAAACAGGGGCUAAACCGAUACUGAUGGAUGGACCCGCGGUGCAGUAGCUAGUUGGUGAGGUAACGGCUCACCAAGGACACGAGGCAUAGCCGACCUGAGAGGGGGAUCGGCCACACUGGAACUGAGACACGGCCCAGACUCCGACGGGAGGCAGCAGUAGGGAAUCUUCGGCAAUGGGCGAAAGUCUGACCGAGCAACGCCGCGUGAGUGAAGAAGGUUUUCGGAUCGUAAAACUCUGUUGUUAGAGAAGCGGUAUCUAACCAGAAAGCCACGGCUAACUACGUGCCAGCAGCCGCGGUAAUAC